rnacentral:rRNA from 1 species
GUGCCAGCAGCCGCGGUAAUACAGAGGGGGCAAGCGUUGUCCGGAAUUACUGGGCGUACAGCGCGCGCAGGCGGUUGCCGACGUGCCGUGUGACAAACGGGGGCUCAACCCCCGAGGGCCACGGUAAACGGGGCGACUGGAGGUAGGGAGAGGGAUGUGGAAUGCCCGGUGGAGCGGUGAAAUGCGUAGAGAUCGGGCGGAACACCAGCGGCGAAGGCGGCAUCCUGGCCCUAUCCUGACGCUGAGGCGCGAGAGCGUGGGGAGCAAACCGGAUUAGAUACCCCGGUAGUCC